rnacentral:lncRNA from 1 species
AAAUGACUUCUAUAAUACCAAACACAUCCUUAAUUCACUAGCUUUUAGUGAUACCCUUAAUUCACUUGUUUUCCAAUUCUUUAUAUUAUUCUUGUUAUUUGUUAAUAGUAGUAAGUUUUAAGUCCAUGUUCAGGAACCUUCAAAAAUAGAUGAGAUCAAAUACUAUCUCGUAUUUUUAAUGUGGACCGAGAAGAUCUACAGUUCUUGUUUGAAUAAAAUUGACAGUCGAUAAGAUUUUUUUAUGCUAGUUUGGUCUGUCUGUUAAUCCAAAAAAAGACCAAAACUACUUCAUAUAGAGUGAUUUGGCAACAAAAGUAGGUCUGUGUAAAAGAAUGGAAGAAAAAACAAUGAUAAUAGUGGGAAAGAUAAGGAGAAAGUUUUACUCAACCCUCUUAACCUCUUCGGCUUGGAACUCUUGAAAGAAAAAAAUAACCUGUUGACCAUAAAGUCAACGGCCAAAAUAAGCUAGUCAUAAGAAAAUGACCCUACAUUAUAAAUGUAUUAUGACACUUUUCAAGAAUAUGAUCCUACAUCAUUACAAGCAGUAGUUUAUUGACUUUGAUGCAAUAUGACCUUCCGUGAAAUUAACCCCCUCUUUCACAACUCCUUGGGUUUGGGAGCCUCAUUUGGUUAGCUCGUCUUUGCCCACCUCAUGGCCCUCGUGGCAGCCGUGAAGUUGUGACGUUUUCGUGGUGUGUGGCACUAGAUUCUAGAUCCAUUCUACUUUAACGCCUGACGUAUACUUCCCCAAGAUCAGAGAACAAGGUCUCCUUAAAAUUUACUUUAGAAAAAUUCCCAAACUAACCUUAAUAAGCAGCUUACCAAUGGAAAGUUGCUUCAUUUUUUAGCUAGUCAAUGUGGCACACAUAACUCGCUCUCAUUCAUCUGAGGAGUCCUCAUUCGUAUUAAAAUUUCUUCUUGUAAUGAUUACAAAUAUCUGAAAAACAGUUGAAAACAGAGAGAGUUGUAUUAUGGGACUCCCAUUCUCCUACAAUGUUGAAAUCCUUAACAUUAUCAUUUCGAGACAUUCUCCUACAAGGCAUCUUCUGUGCUUUAUCCAAAUUUAGAGACAUUCCUUAUAUAUUCAAAGAUCAAAGAACUUUUUAAUUCAAAGAUUUGCACCUUUGACGUGACCAGUUUUCCUUUCAA